GACCGCAGCCCCCAUUUCCCGUUCCCCUGCGCUGCUCAGGGUGAGGAGGUAGAAGGGGAUGGAUGGAGGGAAGGUGUCUUUAGUUUGUUUUUAGUUUGUCACUGCUCUAGCUUGUUAAUAGUCAAUGAAUUAUAUUAAUCUUCCUGUGCUGAGUUUGUUUUGCCCAUGGCCAUUGGCGAGUGAUCUCCAUAUCCAUUCUAUUUUCUCCCCCUUUUCCUUUGAGGAGGGGGAGUGAGAGAGUGGUUGUGGUGGAGUUCAGAUGCCCAGCUGGGUAAAACCACCACAGCUGGUGACAAAAUGUUGGUCUCUGUGUAAAGAUGUACUGAAUUGAAAUGCUGUGGGUAUUUUUAUGACCAGAUGGUCUUGCUAGCAGAGCUCACAGCUGCAGUUAAGUUCAGCAGUUUAUGGAAUGAAGUAACUUGCUAGUGCUUUAGAGACCUGUGCUUAAGAGACCAGAAGGGAGUGAUAAAAAAAUAUAAAAUCUCACUAACAUGUUACUGUUUUAUUAUGUUUAUGUUAAUGCCUACCUUUACAGAACAAUCAGUUCCUAUGCUCUCUAUUACUAUGUUAUGUUCUUAUGAUUCCUGUAGGAUCUCAUUACAUAGUGUGCAACAGCUGAACAUGUUCCACUUCCAUGUGAGUCUUCCUAGAAAUGGAAAUACUUGUUUGCUUCUUGUGGAACCACAUCAAGUUCCUUGUGUACUCCAGACUGAGGUCUUUUGCUAAUUCCAUUGCCUUUCUGAUGAUUGUUGCUUCUGAUGGUUGUCCAUUCACCUUCCUCAGCUGUCUUUCUGUCUGUUAUCCACCAGGUUCGAGUCUCUCCUAAUCUGCUACAAUCUAUUUUUAAAUUUAAAAUGUUUGCCAGUCUUUUUUCCCAAAGCCACUGAAGAAAGAUUAGUCACCUAGCAAGCAGGAAACCAAACUGCUCAGCUGACCCCUGUUCAGUGGAACAUAACAGACAUAAAUUAAGGGGAUGGUGAAGAUGAGAAGAAAAAAUGGGUGAAGACACAAAUCCACAAGUGUUUGGAUACACAGUAAGCUGAACCCACAGUUUGUGUGUCUGGGCUUGCUGAGCUCACAGUUCUUCCACCAGCUCUACUUAUGCGCUCAUGAGUAAUCUUCACCGUUUUGAGAGAAGUGCCUUCCACCAAGAGUACGGACUGUGAGCAGAAGUACAAAAAUGGAAGCUUAAAGCUGGAACAAAUCAGACAAUAGCAGCUGCAUGCAGAUGAGCGGCCACAGCCUUUGAAAACAUGAGAAACAAGGAGGCCGUGCAGGGACAAUGUCCAAUGGAAAGACCAUUUAUCAGAAAAUAAGCUUGUAUGCUGCAGUUGUACAUCUGGUAAUUGACUAGCAGUGACUGAGAGUUUUCUGCAUAAGGACGUUCCUGACAGAGCUGCUUUCCUUUGAGCAUUCUUGCCUGAAGCACUUCCAAGCAUCCUCAGGCUCAUUCAAAACACUGGCAUCUUUCCUCUUGCUGGAAUCUAGCACGAAAAUAUCCCAUGGACUUAGAGACAAAUCUGAGAAGACAUUGCUUUAAUUCCUCUCAGAUUAAUGAGGAGGCUUGACUGCCAGCCCUGAAGUGUCUUCUGGGACAUACUCUAGGCUCAUCACUUUGUUUUUGUUUUAUAGCAAAAUGACAAUGAUGAAGUCAAUAAGUCAGUUAUGUCUGUGACCUACAGUUCCCAUGAAUUCAAGGAGGAUGAUGUCUCAAUACAUUACUGACAAUAAAUCUUACAUUGUCUUCAACACGUUACA